rnacentral:rRNA from 1 species
UCGAGAAUCUUUCGCAAUGGGGGAAACCCUGACGAAGCGACGCCGCGUGCAGGAUGAAGGUCUUCGGAUUGUAAACUGCUGUCGGCUGGGAAGAAAAAGCUGUCAUUCAACAAAUGACAGCCCUGACGGUACCAGCAAAGGAAGCCACAGCUAACUCUGUGCCAGCAGCCGCGGUAAUACAGAGGUGGCUAGCGUUGUUCGGAUUUAUUGGGCGUAAAGGGUCCGUAGGCGGCCUGAAAAGUCGGAUGUGAAAGCCCACAGCUUAACUGUGGAAUGGCAUUCGAAACUUUCAGGCUCGAGUGUGAAAGGGGUAAAGGGAAUUCCCGGUGUAAGGGUGAAAUCUGUAGAGAUCGGGAAGAACACCAGUCGCGAAGGCGCUUUACUGGUUCACAACUGACGCUGAGGGACGAAAGCUAGGGGAGCAAACG